CCUACGGGUGGCAGCAGUGAGGAAUAUUGGUCAAUGGGCGAGAGCCUGAACCAGCCAAGUCGCGUGAGGGAGUACUGCCCUAUGGGUUGUAAACCUCUUUUGUCGGGGAGCAAAAGCCGGAAGUGACCGGCUGUGAGAGUACACGAAGAAAAAGCAUAGGCUAACUCCGUGCCAGCAGCCGCUGUAAUACGUAGGAUGAGAGCUUUAUCCGGAUUUAUUGGGGUUAAAGGGUGCGCGGGCGGAUUUGUAAGGCAGCGGUCAAAUCGUGGGGCUCAACCCCAUCCAGCCGUUGAAACUGGGGAUCUAGAGUGUGCGAGAGGGAUGCGGAAUGCGUGGUGUAGCGGUGAAAUGCAUAGAUAUCACGCAGAACCCCGAUUGCGAAGGCAGCAUACCGGUGCACAACUGACGCUCAGGCACGAAAGCGUGGGUAUCGAACAGGAUUAGAUACCCGUGUAGUC
rnacentral:rRNA from 1 species